UUUUUACAUUUUAUUCUUAUUGUGUUUUAGAGGCGAUGUUGUUCAGCUGGCAGGAGAAGGAGGAACGACAACCGGCCCCAAUAAUAAGCGAUUGAGAAAUGCUCCUAUUCCAUCACAUCUUCAGUGUGUCGACAUGAAAGUGCUUCAGGUUUCAGACAUCCUGCCGGGUGUUGGGUAUUUAUUAUAUGCUGCAAGACC